rnacentral:hammerhead_ribozyme from 1 species
AUCUAGCUCACAAGUCCCAAACAGGACGAAACGCGCGUCCUGGAU